ensembl:misc_RNA 7SK 7SK RNA
GGAUGUGAAGGCAAUCUAGCUGUGACUUCUGUCACCCCAUUGAUCUCCAGGGUUGAUUUGGCUGAUCUGGCUGGUGAGCCGAGUGUCUCCUUUCUUCCUCACUGCUCUAUGUAAGUCCCUCCUGAAGCUGCAGGCUGGGUCAAAGAGGACGACCUUCCUGGAUAGAUGAGGACUGUUCUUUGAUCAUGGGUGUACAAGUAGCUAUGCUCCCCUGCUAGAACCUCCAAACAAGCUCUCAAAUCAUUAAUAUGCAAUCUACAUGCAAUUUCUGCACAAUUGAUUGAAUUAGCAAAACAAAUUGAAGUGUCAAAACACUUUGUCAAACAUUUUCCUUCUGACAAUUGUA